GAUGCCUUCCAUAACGUGUAAAGUAAGAAGUUAGCCUGUGUUAAAAAGUGGUGAUCCCUGCAGAUUACCAAGGCAUCCAGUCUCCCAGCAAGUGCCAAGAGGCAUUCAUUCAAUGCUCCGCUGACACCAAUUUGCCCAAAGAAUAUUUAUGUGGGAGACUCCUCAGAUUGUGGAGACCCCAGAUUGUGGAGGCUCCUGGGCAGCUGGUCUUUUUGUGGACUCCUAAAUCUGGCACUGAACAAAAUUCUCUCUCUCUCUCUCUCUCUCUCUCUCUCUCUCUCUCUCUCUCUCUCUCUCUCUCUCUCUCUCUCUCUCUCUCUCUCUCUCUCUCUCUCUCUCUCUCUCUCUCUCUCUCUCUCUCUCUCUCUCUCUCUCUCUCUCUCUCUCUCUCUCUCUCUCCUCUCUCUCUCUCUCUCUCUCUCUCUCUCUCUCUCUCUCUCUCUCUCUCUCUCUCUCUCUCUCUCUCUCUCUCCUCAACUCUCAACCACUGGAUGGUAUAUCAGUUCACACAGCAAGAAGCCAAGGACCCACCGAGGCUGUCACUUGGAAGAGGUCAUUGUUGUUGCAUCCAGCAUCCCAGCCUGACUGCCUAGACAGGUCCCGCAGGUUGCUGAAUGGCAGAGGUGCAGGCUGCUCCACAGCAAGAUGUGAGACCAGUGUGGCAGAGUAUGAUGUGUACACAAUGAGGGACACACUGUAGCCAACCCAGUAGAUUACCCGUGCUGCAGUGCUGAUUGGGUCCUCACCUUGUUGUAGGAGAGCUGACAACAUGUACCAGCCAGCAGCAACUCCCAUGCUAACAGGCUUCUCCCCCGUGGGUAUGUAGCACCUCUGGAGUCGCUCGAUGAAGAAGAGGAUGCUGGCGAGGCCUGUCGUGUUAGCCGGGAUGCGCCGGUACAGAGCUGUGUCCGUUGGGGUUGUGUAGGCAAGCAUCUUCUUGGCAAGGUCCUCGUAGGUGGCCGCAAACAGUUUACGGCUGUGGGAUGAGAACUUGUCUUGUGAAUGUGACGUUGGGAGGAGGGAAGCACAGGGGAGGAGGAGGACGAGGAGGAAGAGAGUGAAGAGUCACAAGAGGAGGAGGAAGGUGGAAAGAAAGAGGAAGGAGAGGAGGAGGAGGAGGAGGAGGAGGAGGAAGAUGGAGAAGGAAAGGAGAAAGAUAAGAAGGAAGGCAAUGUAGAAUGGAGGCGUCCUUGGUUUAUGUUCAGUAAAGCCCCGUAUUCUUGUCAUGGCAAUGUAGAAUGGAGGCGUCCUUGGUUUAUGUUCAGUAAAGCCCUGUAUUCUUGUCAUGGCAAUGUAGAAUGGAGACGUCAUUGGUCACAUACUGUUCUAAUGUAUGUGCACUUGCCACGCUGUUCACCAGGCAAAAGGCGUUGCAGAAAGAGCGCGAGAUCACUGUGUUGUGGGAGAAGACAGAGUCCCUUAGUGGUCAGCUGGUGACGGUCCACAACCACAGCCACUUUGAAGAGAAUGGCCUGAGCCACGACCACCUUGCUCAAGAAAAUAUCACGUUGACAGAGCUGAUUAAACAACUAGAAGAUAACCUCAAACUUUCAAAGGUACAGAUACCAAGGGGAAAUUGCUGGGUCAAGUGGCUACACUGACAUCUGAGGUUAGCAGGUUGGAGAGUGAGUGCAGCAGUCUUCAGGUUCAGCUAGACUGUGAGAGGGAUAAGUAUAACAAACUGCUGGGAGAAUCUUUUGCUCAUGAAAAGUUGUCUGAAGAUGUCAUAACUGAACCAAAAGGAGAAACAACAGGAUUGGGAGGAACUGAGCUUUAACAGAAGCUGCAACAACUGCAGGAGGCUCACAGGGUCCUGGAGAGCAGGUUAACUUGCAGCAUGAAGGAGGUGGCAGAUUAGUGAUUUCUGCUGCAUCUCACACACUUCUUAUUCAAUUGCUUGCAGGAUUUGAUAUCAAAGCUGGUGCAGGAAAAGGAAGCAGAUCAUGACCUUCAGCAGCUCGAGAAGAUAAGCAGCGUCCUUAAGAGUCCAGUUGCUAUCUUUAGCAGUGUUGGAACCAGUGAGUCUAAGACACCCACCAGCAGUGGAAAGGUGGCUGACGAGCGCCUCAAGCACUCUGAAAAGGUGGAGCAACAACAAGAAACAGAAAAUUGCAUCCAUCAUUCUUUGCCUGAGGAGGGAAUUGAUGCUCUGUUGACCCUUCACACUGAUGUCCCUCAUGAGGAGGCAGAAUAUGAAUCCUACAGAACUUGCCCAUAGAAAGACCAAAACUGUUACUGCUGCCACACUGCCACCACUUCCACUGACACCAAAAGCCCAACUGUGCAGAGAAUCCUGGACCUCCGCAAUGAAAUGGAGUCCACCAGUCACCUGGAGCACUUUAGCCUCCAAAAGUUCCAUCCGUGUCCAUUGUGUUUGGGUAAACUUAUCACUGUAUAAGGGGACAAGUAUCAGUGUAUGGUUACUAUAUACUCAUUUGUACUUAAAGAUGUCAUGUCACAUCAUUCUCUCUCUCUCUCUCUCUCUCUCUCUCUCUCUCUCUCUCUCUCUCUCUCUCUCUCUCUCUCUCUCUCUCUCUCUCUCUCUCUCUCUCUCUCUCUCUCUCUCUCUCUCUCUCUCUCUCUCUCUCUCUCUCUCUCUCUCUCUCUCUCUCUCUCUCUCUCUCUCUCUCUCUCUCUCUCUCUCUCUCUCUUUCUUUCUUUCUUUCUUUCUUUCUUUCUUUUUGCAUAUUUUACUGCUUUACAUUCCUCCCCACAGUAUUUUUUCAUCUACUUUAUGACUGCAGUAGUUUUAUCAUCCCAGUGUAUGCCGUAUCCACUCUGAAACUGUAAUUCACCAAUCAGCUCAAAUGUGUCUCUGUUUUGAUAAUCAUUAAUUUGUUUCAGCUACACAACCACUCUGAUAAGGGACAAAAUCUACUUCACCAGUCAUCUAUGUCAUACAGUCAUAUAUAUUCAUACAUAUGACAAAAUACUCUUCCUAAGACAUUUCUUAUUUUCUCUUCUCAAGUGACCUGUCCAUCUAUCUAAGGUACCACAUAACAUUUAAAACUUACAAUAUUGCAUUUAAUUCAUGAACAUUUUUUUGUCUAUGUAGACUUGAAAUUGUAUUGCGUAUAGACUUGAAAUGUAUUGGGAGUUUUCUCUAUCUCUCAUUCUAUACCUAACACCUGUUCCUAAGAAUCCCCAGGUGAUAGCCAUGGUGACUGGCUGGUCUCCUACUGAGUGGCUGGGGUUUUCCAAAAGUGAGGGUUGGUGUUCUAUACCAUACCAUGUGCCCUGUUUGUGUUCCUUCUCUAUCCUCUGUAUUAUAUUCUAUGUAAAGAUGGUGCUGGGGUGGGAUCUACUUCUUAUUCCCUAAAAGUGAUGAGGAGUGACACUGGGCAGCAUUAAUUUGCUCCUUAGAGAUGGCUGGGUUCCUGUGGAUGAGUGGGCCAUGCUGUGCUUUGUCAAGGAUGGUGUUUGGUAUUGUGAUGACUCUUGCCACAAUCAAGUGUCUCCCACAGAGUAGUGGAGUACCUAUGUAUGGUGUUGACCCAAGCUGUCCAGGUCUCAUCCAAUGCCUUAAUAUGAUUUAGAUGAUCAAAAUGGUUUAACUCACCAUUUAAUCAGCUGACUGAUUUGAAUGGAGAAGUAUGUAAUGUGUUGUAGCCUAACCAUCCCUGCCAGCAUGGUCAGACUCUUGGUAGUAACCUGAAAUGCUCCUAGGUAGUGAGUAUCAUUGCACAUAAUGAUCUUUACUUUGUCAGUAAUUCAAUGAUACUGAAUAUUACUCUACUGGAUUUUGCUCAGCACUGCUUGGUAACUUUUGGCCAUAAUCCCAGGUCUGGAAUGAUAUGAAGCCAUGUUUUUACAUUCCAUAUGAGACAGGCAAGCACUAUGCUUUGCCUGACUGAUACCUCUACUUUGCAUUUAUGACCCCAGGUAGUUCAUCUCUCUCUCUCUCUCUCUCUCUCUCUCUCUCUCUCUCUCUCUCUCUCUCUCUCUCUCUCUCUCUCUCUCUCUCUCUCUCUCUCUCUCUCUCUCUCUCUCUCUCUCUCUCUCUCUCUCUCUCUCUCUCUCUCUCUCUCUCUCUCUGUUUGGAAUUAUACUGUAUAUUAAGAAAUAUCAUUAAAGAGUGUGUGUGUGUGUGUGUGUAAAAAGUGUUUGCAUUAUUGUGCAUUUGAUAUUAUAGCCCCAGGUUCUUAAAGUUUUCUGGUUUCAUGAUUUAUAAAGAUUGCUAUUUUUAAUAAAGUUAUUGAAAUUGUUA